rnacentral:rRNA from 1 species
CCUUGAACCUGGGUAACCUGSCCCCCACUCUGGGAUAACCUCGGGWWAUCGGGGSUAAUACCGGAUAUGAGCUCCUGCCGCAUGGUGGGUGCUGGAAAGUUUUUCGGUGGGGGAUGGACUCGCGGCCUAUCAGUUUGUUGGUGAGGUAAUGGCUCACCAAGGCGAUGACGGGUAGCCGGCCUGAGAGGGCGACCGGCCACACUGGGACUGAGACACGGCCCAGACUCCUACGGGAGGCAGCAGUGGGGAAUAUUGCACAAUGGGCGAAAGCCUGAUGCAGCGACGCCGCGUGGGGGAUGACGGCCUUCGGGUUGUAAACCUCUUUCAGUAGGGAAGAAGCGAAAGUGACGGUACCUGCAGAAGAWGYKCCKKYUAACUACGUGCCAGCAGCCGCGGUAAUACGUAGGGCGCAAGCGUUGUCCGGAAUUAUUGGGCGUAAAGAGCUUGUAGGUGGCUUGUCGCGUCUGCCGUGAAAACCCGAGGCUCAACCUCGGGCGUGCGGUGGGUACGGGCAGGCUAGAGUGUGGUAGGGGAGACUGGAACUCCUGGUGUAGCGGUGAAAUGCGCAGAUAUCAGGAAGAACACCGAUGGCGAAGGCAGGUCUCUGGGCCAUUACUGACACUGAGAAGCGAAAGCAUGGGGAGCGAACAGGAUUAGAUACCCUGGUAGUCCAUGCCGUAAACGUUGGGCACUAGUGUGGGGAACAUUCCACGUUUUCCGCGCCGUAGCUAACGCAUUAAGUGCCCCGCCUGGRGGAGUACGGCCGCAGGCUAAAACUCAAAGGGAUGACGGGGGCCGYACAGCGCGGAGC